rnacentral:rRNA from 1 species
GAUGAACGCUGGCGGCGUGCCUAAUACAUGCAAGUCGAGCGAACGGACGAGAAGCUUGCUUCUCUGAUGUUAGCGGCGGACGGGUGAGUAACACGUGGAUAACCUACCUAUAAGACUGGGAUAACUUCGGGAAACCGGAGCUAAUACCGGCUGAUAUUUUGAACCGCAUGGUUCAAAAGUGAAAGACGGUCUUGCUGUCACUUAUAGAUGGAUCCGCGCUGCAUUAGCUAGUUGGUAAGGUAACGGCUUACCAAGGCAACGAUGCAUAGCCGACCUGAGAGGAUGAUCGGCCACACAGGAACUGAGACACGGUCCAGACUCCUACGGGAGGCAGCAGUAGGGAAUCUUGCGCAAUGGGCGAAAGCCUGACGGAGCAACGCCGCGUGAGUGAUGAAGGUCUUCGGAUCGUAAAACUCUGUUAUUAGGGAAGAACAUAUGUGUAAGUAACUGUGCACAUCUUGACGGUACCUAAUCAGAAAGCCACGGCUAACUACGUG